CUGGCUCUGCAUGAAUUUACCAUUCACAAAAUAAAAUCUUCUGUCUGAUUUAAUUUCCUCACUUUCUUCCAGUUUUCUUUUCCUCUCUAAUUAGAUUCAACUGAGAAGAAGAUCGAACAAAUAAAUAAACAGCCUCAAGACGACAUUAGGGGAAUAUUCGGAGAACGUGAGAAUGACUUCGUCGGCCAACGAUGUAUGGGGCGCCACCUUCGCCGCCACCAAACUGUUCCCAGACAAACUUCCCCACUUCUUCGAAUCCAUCACUCCUACCAGGCGCGACGGCUACUCCCAAGGCUCCAUGCGCAAGGUCACCUAUGGCGCAGGUUUGUUUGUUAAUUAAUGAAUAAUAUAAAAUUAAUUUUAAAUUUUCUCCCAACUGCUCGAAUUCAAAAGAAUUUUUGUUUUGUUUCCGUUGUCAGGGUUCAAUAGGGCAGUGGAGACAGCGAUGGAGGAGAUAACGGAAGUGGACCACGUCAAGAGAACGUUGACCGUUAAAGUCGCGGACAGAAAACUUGUGACUACUCAGCUACGACACUUUCGAUACCACCAUAGUGGUGACACCGGUAGAUGGUAACGCACCGAGGGCGGCUGGGAGCUACGUGGCGUGGAGCUUAAGUUCACGAAGGAAAGUGGGAGUUUAAGCAUAGAGAUUAUGAAGGAGUUUGUGAGGAAGAGCUUCCAGGCUUUGGACAACCAUCUCCAGAAGCUAAGCAGCUCCGGCAAAGGAAAACAAUGAAGAAAAAUAUAUGUCCAUUUGUCAUUUUAUUAGUUUUAUGAAUAAUGGAAGAUUAAUUAGUUAAUAGUUGUACCUACUUUAUGUACUUUCAAUUAAUGAUGUUUUUGUAGCAAUAAGAAUAUUAGCUCCAGUUCACUCUGCAUCCCCUGUCUCGACGUUUCUUUGGAGUAACCGAUACCGUACUCUUGAAAGUCUCGUAGUAACUCAGCAUUCCUCCUUCUAUAAGGGACCAUGUUAUUGUCUGUCUCGUGAUCCACAUACACUAUCUUCUCUAUUAACGUCUUGGACCCAGUGAAGGAAAUCUCGCGGAUAGAGCCUCGCUGAACCCGUCACCUUCCAGUACUUUAAUACCGCGGUACACAUGAGGCAAGGCUUUUGGUAGUAUCUUUGUGAACCCGAAGAUGGCUCCUCAUACCGCAUCUGCCGUUGAGAUGAGACUGAACUCCACUGCAUCACUGCAAAAUGAACAGAAACGGUUAGUGAAGAAUAUAAAAAUCAAUAUGAAACUGGACGCAAUGUUUUAUUAACAAUACAAUUGUUAAUGAAUAAUAUAAAACAAGAUUGCACAAG
rnacentral:lncRNA from 1 species